UACGAAGGGGCUAGCGUUUGCUCGGAAUGACUGGGCGUAAAGGGCGCGUAGGCGGAAGUGGCAGUCAGACGUGAAAUUCCUGGGCUCAACCUGGGGACUGCGUUUUGAGACGCUGCAUCUAGAGUGAGGAAGAGGGUCGUGGAAUUUCCCAGUGUAGAGGUGAAAUUCGUAGAUAUUGGGAAGAACACCGGUGGCGAAGGCGGCGACCUGGUCCUUUACUGACGCUGAGACGCGAAAGCGUGGGGAGCAAACAGG
rnacentral:rRNA from 1 species